CAGGAGACACUGGGAGUAAAGCCUGGCCUUUGGCUCUGCCAAAGACCACCCAGGGGACUGGAGAAAAGAGUGGUUGGUGGCUGGAGCUACAGGCCUGUUGCGUGACAAGGGUGCCCUGGACAGGCUGGCAGAAAGUCAAGCCAGAGACCUAAAAGAGAAGGUCCUGGGGAAAGCAAAGUUACCUUGAUUGCCUUUGACAACACUCAAGUACUUCAUUGGCCCUUCUGCUGCAGAACUUGAACACGUGGUUCUUCAAAUACAGUACUUUCCUCCCAACUCCCACCACUCCACUUUCCUACUAUGACUAUUUCACUCCUCUAUCAACUCAGCUGAAUCAUCAUUUCCUUGGGUCAGCUUUCCUUGUCCCCCCUGACUAGCAAUAAAUGUCCUCCUCAAAAAAAAAAAAAAAAA
rnacentral:lncRNA from 1 species